UGUUAUUGUUUAUGUGGAAUAAAAAUAAAAACUUACAAUUGUUCACAACUCGAAGAUCCAGUUUCUUUAAUAUUAGCGUUACAUUAUGUCAUUCAUAUUAGUGAAGGGUUCAUACUAGGUAGAAAUGUUUGUUUGUCCGGGAGCGAAACGGAAAGGUCUGUUGGCUCUUCUAGAGGACCAAAUUGUGACUCCAGUCCUGAGGAACCUGACGAGCCAGACUCAGAUGACCUCUCUGAGAUGACAGUGCAUGCGAAAGGCGCAAGAAUGAAUGUCAUAAAAAUUUAGAAAAUCUUGAAUAUUACUUCACUCUACUACGAGACCAGUUCUACAAUAAGAGAGAUAGUCAAGGAUGUUGUACAAGUUAACUGAAGCAAGAGGUAGUUGAUCAAGAUUUAAGGAGAAUAUUCUGGUCUGGUUUAAGGAGGAUGUGGAUCGAAGUAGCGGGCAUCCUAAAGCAUAAACGAAUAGACAAUAUUAAACGUAACUUUGAGACUGAAGAGCAAGACGCUCAUCAAAAUUUAAAGAGCGGUUUUAUUAUGAGUGCGAUUUGUAACUCCGAGCUCGUUGGCGUGAAUCCCAGCUGUCCUGUACUUUAAACUAACUUCAUAAAUACAGAAGAUGGAGGUUUUUAAUUUAUUAACCGGUAUUUUUCAUCAAAUACGGAAAAAUAAGGAAAAUGUGAACAGUGGCAUUUCCUAGAUGCUUAAGUGGCGACAGGCACAGAAGGCUGUUAUGAGGACUGCAAAGUUGUAAAAAAAUCUCUACAUUCUCGAGCGUGACUGAUUUUUUUUUUUGAAGGAAAUAAUUCAGGGAUGACGAAAAAUGUACAAUCUAACGAUUUCCAUAAGCCGAAGUAACAAAAAUCGUUGAUAAAAUGUACCUGCAGCUGCGUGAUGCCUAAAUUGCCUUCUCCGCGUUUGUAUUCCUGUAUCGCUUUUUCUACUCCGUAGUGGGGAACUCUGGUUUGCCAUCAUCACAGUGGAUCACACAGCUCGUUGGUGGUAUGAUAUUCUUACGUAUUGACUGAUUUUGUUAUUUAUAUAUUUCUCAUGUGAUUAUAGUUUUAAAAUAUUAACUAUGCUUAAUAUUAAUAUAAAGCGUGUAUUUUGUGGUGAAACUACUUUGCAAAAAAACAAUAAAAUUCACAUAGCAUAUGUAUAAUGUUUAUAAACAUUUUUUAAUAUCGACGAAGCAAACCGAUUCUCCGAAAAUCUCGAUCAAUAUACGAUAAUCUUGGACUUACGAUAGAAUCUUCAUUAAACGGAGAAUAUCACGAUGAAGAUUAUGAUUAAUUGAUGAUACAAAUUGAUUUUAUGAAUCAUUUAAAAACAAAAUUAUAAUAAAUACAAGUACUUAAACAAAAUUCACUUUUUUAUUUGCAUCAAUCAAAUAAGUUAAAAACUAUUUUUCUUAAUUAUCAGAUUAGGGCAAUCCCUCCAGAUAAUCGCCAGAUUAUGAGAGAGCACGUCUAGGAGAUAAAGAUGAACCAUAUAUAUCUUAAUCUGACGCGCUUGAGUAUUUCAAAAUGGCGAUUUUGGCACAUUCUAAUAAUGCCUGUGAGUUUGCGUCACAUCCAAAUCGUCAGAUUUUUAGAUGACGGCUUAUUUUAGAUUCACUUAACAUCCUCUUAGAAAAUCUGACGCGCUCGAUUAAAUUAUUUAUUAUUUACUAGUUGUUGGUAAUCAUGUUAACAAUCAGAUUAACAUCCUAGGACAUGGAUGCUAUGAAUAUCUGUCGCCCUCGUGUCCAUGACAGGGUUAUUGUUACAUUUAUGAAAGUCUAUAGCCGCUCUAUAGCCCCACCGAUGAAAAGGGUUAUAAGGGUAAUAUAAGGGCAUUAUAUAACAUUUUUUUCUUAUUAUUAUUUAAGCUUCACAACUCAAUAGGUCUCUAUGACGCUCGA